rnacentral:rRNA from 1 species
AGAGAGAGACAUGCGCGCAUAUCAAUAAGCGGAGGAAAAGAAACUAACUAGGAUUCCCUCAGUAACGGCGAGUGAAGCGGGAAGAGCUCAAAUUUGAAAUCUUCAAGGUUCUACCUUGACGAAUUGUAGUUUAAAGAAGUGUUUUCUGUUGGAGUUUUGGUAAAAGUUCUUUGGAAUAGGACAUCAUAGAGGGUGAGAAUCCCGUAUUUGACCAUUAUUUCCAGCUUUGUGAUACACUUUCAAAGAGUCGGAUUGUUUGGGAAUGCAGUCCAAAAUGGGUGGUAAAUUUCAUCUAAAGCUAAAUACUGGCGAGAGACCGAUAGCGAACAAGUACCGUGAGGGAAAGAUGAAAAGAACUCUUGAAAAGAGAGUUAAACAGUACGUGAAAUUGUCAAAAGGGAAGCGUUUGACACCAGUGUUGUUUUCUCGAAAAUCAAUUAAAAAAGGCAGGAUUUUGUGUUGUAUUGACUUUAUCAGCUUUCUGCACUCUUUUCUUGUCUUUUUUAAUGCACUUUUCGUUUAACAAGUCAACAUCAAUUUCUUUUGUUGUAAAAGGGUCAUUGGAAGGUGGCUUCCUUUUCGGAGAAAGUGUUUAUAGCCUUUGGCCUCUGCAAUCGGAGAGAUUGAGGUCUGCAGCGUAGAUCCUUCGGGGUUAGAUACAUUUGUGCUAAGUUAUAGCAUUUUAUAGACAACUUGUUGACUAUGAUUAGUCAUUGUAGCUUACUCGCUUAUGUUAUUUUACCUACGCUUAGGAUGUUGAUGUGAUACUGCGAGCA